AUGAAGGUCUUGGCGAUGCUGGUACUGGUGGCAGUUUCCACCUUCCUGGUCUCAGGCCAGACUACAACAGAUGUUCCAUCUGAUAGCUCUACUACUGUCCCAAAUCCACCACUGUGGGGCCCACCUCCAAAUCAGCUACUGCCUCCACUGAUGCCACCACCACCACAGUUCCCACCACCAUGACCAGUUCUGCUCAAACCACCAAUGUUUGAAAGAGUGUCAUCAACAAGAUUAAGAAUAAACUAGAUUUGAAAAAUCUAGAUUUGAAUAAUCACUAAGAUGAAGGAAGCCUGGGCCUUUUGCAAUUGAUCCUGCUGGGCUUGGCCACAAUGUCCCUUCAAUUGGUUUAACCCUGACUCUUAACAUGUCUAUCAUCUCUGUCUUAUCCCUAAUCAGUUUAUCUGUUUUCAAAUAAAAAGUAACAUUGAGUAGCAACAAAAUCAUAUAUUUUUAAGAG